rnacentral:rRNA from 1 species
AUUGAACGCUGGCGGCAUGCUUUACACAUGCAAGUCGAACGGUAACAGGGAGCUUGCUCCGCUGACGAGUGGCGAACGGGUGAGUAAUGCAUCGGAACGUACCCAGUCGUGGGGGAUAACGUAGCGAAAGUUACGCUAAUACCGCAUACGUCCUGAGGGAGAAAGCGGGGGACCGUAAGGCCUCGCGCGAUUGGAGCGGCCGAUGUCGGAUUAGCUAGUUGGUAGGGUAAAGGCCUACCAAGGCGACGAUCCGUAGCGGGUCUGAGAGGGAUGAUCCGCCACACUGGGACUGAGACACGGCCCAGACUCCUACGGGAGGCAGCAGUGGGGAAUUUUGGACAAUGGGCGAAAGCCUGAUCCAGCCAUGCCGCGUGAGUGAAGAAGGCCUUCGGGUUGUAAACUUCUUUACUACGCGAAUAGAGGUCAGUACGAGAUACUAAUAGGAAGGUAGUGUAGUAAAAAGCACCGGCUAACUCCGUG